rnacentral:rRNA from 1 species
GAUUGAACGCUGGCGGUAUGCUUAACACAUGCAAGUCGAACGGAAACGAUACUAGCUUGCUAGUAGGCGUCGAGUGGCGGACGGGUGAGUAACGCGUAGGAAUCUGCCUGAUAGUGGGGGAUAGCCCGAAGAAAUUCGGAUUAAUACCGCAUAAUCUAUUCGUAGUAAAGUGGGGGACUUUCGAGCCUCACGCUAUCAGAUGAGCCUGCGUAAGAUUAGCUUGUUGGUGGGGUAAAAGCCCACCAAGGCGACGAUCUUUAGCUGGUCUGAGAGGAUGAUCAGCCACAUCGGGACUGAGACACGGCCCGAACUCCUACGGGAGGCAGCAGUGGGGAAUAUUGGACAAUGGGGGCAACCCUGAUCCAGCAAUACCGCGUGUGUGAAGAAGGCCUGAGGGUUGUAAAGCACUUUCAAUUGUGAAGAAAAGUUAGCGGUUAAUAACCGUUAGCCUUGACGUUAACUUUAGAAGAAGCACCGGCUAACUCCGUGCCAGCAGCCGCGGUAAUACGGAGGGUGCAAGCGUUAAUCGGAAUUACUGGGCGUAAAGCGUGCGUAGGCGGUUUAUUAAGUCAGAUGUGAAAGCCCCGGGCUUAACCUGGGAACUGCAUUUGAAACUGGUCAACUAGAGUAUGGUAGAGGAAAGUGGAAUUUCUGGUGUAGCGGUGAAAUGCGUAGAUAUCAGAAGGAACAUCAAUGGCGAAGGCAGCUUUCUGGACCAAUACUGACGCUGAGGUACGAAAGCGUGGGUAGCAAACAGGAUUAGAUACCCUGGUAGUCCACGCCGUAAACGAUGAUAACUAGCCGUUGGGGGGAUUUACCCUUUAGUGGCGAAGCUAACGCGUUAAGUUAUCCGCCUGGGGAGUACGGCCGCAAGGUUAAAACUCAAAGGAAUUGACGGGGACCCGCACAAGCGGUGGAGCAUGUGGUUUAAUUCGAUGCAACGCGAAGAACCUUACCUGGUCUUGACAUCCUGCGAACUUUCUAGAAAUAGAUUGGUGCCUUCGGGAACGCAGUGACAGGUGCUGCAUGGCUGUCGUCAGCUCGUGUCGUGAGAUGUUGGGUUAAGUCCCGUAACGAGCGCAACCCCUAUCCUUAUUUGCCAGCACAUUAUGGUGGGAACUAUAAGGAGACUGCCGGUGAUAAACCGGAGGAAGGCGGGGACGACGUCAAGUCAUCAUGGCCCUUACGACCAGGGCUACACACGUGCUACAAUGGGAAGGACAAAGAGCCGCGAAGCCGCGAGGUGUAGCUAAUCUCAUAAACCUUUUCGUAGUCCGGAUUGGAGUCUGCAACUCGACUCCAUGAAGUCGGAAUCGCUAGUAAUCGUAGAUCAGAAUGCUACGGUGAAUACGUUCCCGGGUCUUGUACUCACCGCCC